UACGGAGGGGGCUAGCGUUGUUCGGAAUUACUGGGCGUAAAGCGCACGUAGGCGGCUUUGUAAGUUAGAGGUGAAAGCCCGGGGCUCAACUCCGGAAUUGCCUUUAAGACUGCAUCGCUAGAAUUGUGGAGAGGUAAGUGGAAUUCCGAGUGUAGAGGUGAAAUUCGUAGAUAUUCGGAAGAACACCAGUGGCGAAGGCGGCUUACUGGUCCGGUUCUGACGCUGAGGCGCGAAAGCGUGGGGAGCAAACAGG
rnacentral:rRNA from 1 species